rnacentral:rRNA from 1 species
GAUCUAGCCAUGGGCAGGUUGAAGGUUGGGUAACACUAACUGGAGGACCGAACCGACUAAUGUUGAAAAAUUAGCGGAUGACUUGUGGCUGGGGGUGAAAGGCCAAUCAAACCGGGAGAUAGCUGGUUCUCCCCGAAAGCUAUUUAGGUAGCGCCUCGUGAAUUCAUCUCCGGGGGUAGAGCACUGUUUCGGCAAGGGGGUCAUCCCGACUUACCAACCCGAUGCAAACUGCGAAUACCGGAGAAUGUUAUCACGGGAGACACACGGCGGGUGCUAACGUCCGUCGUGAAGAGGGAAACAACCCAGACCGCCAGCUAAGGUCCCAAAGUCAUGGUUAAGUGGGAAACGAUGUGGGAAGGCCCAGACAGCCAGGAUGUUGGCUUAGAAGCAGCCAUCAUUUAAAGAAAGCGUAAUAGCUCACUGGUCGAGUCGGCCUGCGCGGAAGAUGUAACGGGGCUAAACCAUGCACCGAAGCUGCGGCAGCGACGCUUAUGCGUUGUUGGGUAGGGGAGCGUUCUGUAAGCCUGUGAAGGUGUACUGUGAGGUAUGCUGGAGGUAUCAGAAGUGCGAAUGCUGACAUAAGUAACGAUAAAGCGGGUGAAAAGCCCGCUCGCCGGAAGACCAAGGGUUCCUGUCCAACGUUAAUCGGGGCAGGGUGAGUCGACCCCUAAGGCGAGGCCGAAAGGCGUAGUCGAUGGGAAACAGGUUAAUAUUCCUGUACUUGGUGUUACUGCGAAGGGGGGACGGAGAAGGCUAUGUUGGCCGGGCGACGGUUGUCCCGGUUUAAGCGUGUAGGCUGGUUUUCCAGGCAAAUCCGGAAAAUCAAGGCUGAGGCGUGAUGACGAGGCACUACGGUGCUGAAGCAACAAAUGCCCUGCUUCCAGGAAAAGCCUCUAAGCAUCAGGUAACAUCAAAUCGUACCCCAAACCGACACAGGUGGUCAGGUAGAGAAUACCAAGGCGCUUGAGAGAACUCGGGUGAAGGAACUAGGCAAAAUGGUGCCGUAACUUCGGGAGAAGGCACGCUGAUAUGUAGGUGAAGUCCCUCGCGGAUGGAGCUGAAAUCAGUCGAAGAUACCAGCUGGCUGCAACUGUUUAUUAAAAACACAGCACUGUGCAAACACGAAAGUGGACGUAUACGGUGUGACGCCUGCCCGGUGCCGGAAGGUUAAUUGAUGGGGUUAGCGCAAGCGAAGCUCUUGAUCGAAGCCCCGGUAAACGGCGGCCGUAACUAUAACGGUCCUAAGGUAGCGAAAUUCCUUGUCGGGUAAGUUCCGACCUGCACGAAUGGCGUAAUGAUGGCCAGGCUGUCUCCACCCGAGACUCAGUGAAAUUGAACUCGCUGUGAAGAUGCAGUGUACCCGCGGCAAGACGGAAAGACCCCGUGAACCUUUACUAUAGCUUGACACUGAACAUUGAGCCUUGAUGUGUAGGAUAGGUGGGAGGCUUUGAAGUGUGGACGCCAGUCUGCAUGGAGCCGACCUUGAAAUACCACCCUUUAAUGUUUGAUGUUCUAACGUUGACCCGUAAUCCGGGUUGCGGACAGUGUCUGGUGGGUAGUUUGACUGGGGCGGUCUCCUCCUAAAGAGUAACGGAGGAGCACGAAGGUUGGCUAAUCCUGGUCGGACAUCAGGAGGUUAGUGCAAUGGCAUAAGCCAGCUUGACUGCGAGCGUGACGGCGCGAGCAGGUGCGAAAGCAGGUCAUAGUGAUCCGGUGGUUCUGAAUGGAAGGGCCAUCGCUCAACGGAUAAAAGGUACUCCGGGGAUAACAGGCUGAUACCGCCCAAGAGUUCAUAUCGACGGCGGUGUUUGGCACCUCGAUGUCGGCUCAUCACAUCCUGGGGCUGAAGUAGGUCCCAAGGGUAUGGCUGUUCGCCAUUUAAAGUGGU